rnacentral:rRNA from 1 species
GCCCUUAGAGUUUGAUCCUGGCUCAGGAUGAAUGUUGGCGGUGUGCCUGAGAUAUGCAAGUCGAACGUCUUUCCUGCCGCAAGGUGGGAAGGUAGUGGCGGACGGCUGAGUAACACAUAGGGACUUACCCCUUUUUGAAGGAUAGCCCAUCGAAAGGUGGGAUAAUACUUCAUGGUAUGAAUACCGUAAGGUAUUUGUUAAAGAGAUUAACUUCUCGAAAAGGGAUGGACCUGUGGCUUAUCAGAUAGUUGGUGGGGUAACGGCCUACCAAGUCUACGACGAGUAGCUGGCCUGAGAAGGUGGUCAGCCAGAGGGGGACUGAGACACGGCCCCCACUCCUACGGGAGGCAGCAAUCAGGAAUAGUCGGCAAUGGACGAAAGUCUGACCGCGCGACACCGCGUGUAGGAAUAAGCUCUAACGAGCGUAAACUACUGUGAUAGAGGAAGAAAUCCCGACCUAGUCGGGACUGACGGUACUCUAUAAGAAAGGGGCCGCUAACUGCGUGCCAGAAGCGUCGGUAAUACGUGGGCCCCAAACAUUAUCCGGUUUUACUAGGUGUAAAAAGUAGUGUAGGUGUCUUGAUAAGUCUAGUUUUAAAUACUGUGGCUCAACCAUAGAAAAGGGCUGGAUACUACCAAGAUAGAGUUUGCUUUAGAGAAACUGGAACUCAGGGAGGAGUAGUGAAAUGCGUUGAUACCCUGGGGAACACAGUGGCGAAGCGAGUUCUGAAGCAGACUGACACUGAGACACGAAGCUA